rnacentral:rRNA from 1 species
UACGAAGGGGGCGAGCGUUGUUCGGAUUUACUGGGCGUAAAGGGCGCGCAGGCGGCUCAUUUUGUCAGGCGUGAAAGCCCCGGGCUUAACCUGGGAACUGCGUUUGAUACGGAUGGGCUAGAGUUCGGGAGAGGAGAGUGGAAUUCCCAGUGUAGAGGUGAAAUUCGUAGAUAUUGGGAAGAACACCGGUGGCGAAGGCGGCUCUCUGGACCGAUACUGACGCUGAGGCGCGAAAGCCAGGGGAGCGAACGGG